CGCGGCCUAUCAGCUUGUUGGUGGGGUAAUGGCCUACCAAGGCGACGACGGGUAGCCGGCCUGAGAGGGCGACCGGCCACACUGGGACUGAGACACGGCCCAGACUCCUACGGGAGGCAGCAGUGGGGAAUAUUGCGCAAUGGGCGAAAGCCUGACGCAGCGACGCCGCGUGAGGGAUGAAGGCCUUCGGGUUGUAAACCUCUUUCAGCAGGGAAGAAGCGCAAGUGACGGUACCUGCAGAAGAAGCACCGGCUAACUACGUGCCAGCAGCCGCGGUAAUACGUAGGGUGCAAGCGUUGUCCGGAAUUAUUGGGCGUAAAGAGCUCGUAGGCGGUCUGUCGCGUCUGCUGUGAAAACUCGGGGCUUAACCCCGGGCCUGCAGUGGGUACGGGCAGACUAGAGUGCGGUAGGGGAGACUGGAAUUCCUGGUGUAGCGGUGAAAUGCGCAGAUAUCAGGAGGAACACCGGUGGCGAAGGCGGGUCUCUGGGCCGUAACUGACGCUGAGGAGCGAAAGCGUGGGGAGCGAACAGGAUUAGAUACCCUGGUAGUCCACGCCGUAAACGGUGGGUACUAGGUGUGGGUUUCCUUCCUUGGGAUCCGUGCCGUAGCUAACGCAUUAAGUACCCCGCCUGGGGAGUACG
rnacentral:rRNA from 1 species